rnacentral:rRNA from 1 species
GACAAACGCUGGCGGCGUGCUUAACACAUGCAAGUCGAACGGGGUACUUUUGGGGGGCAACCCCUGAAAGUACUUAGUGGCGAACGGGUGAGUAACACGUGGGUAACCUGCCCCUUAGACCGGGAUAACCCGCCGAAAGGCGAGCUAAUACCGGAUGCCGUACCGAGGUGAGAUUCUUCGGUAUGAAAGGAUGGCGCAAGCUAUCGCUUGGGGAUGGGCCCGCGGCUGAUUAGCUAGUUGGUAGGGUAAUGGCCUACCAAGGCGACGAUCAGUAGCCGGCCUGAGAGGGUGUACGGCCACACUGGAACUGAGACACGGUCCAGACUCCUACGGGAGGCAG